GAUGAACGCUGGCGGCGUGCUUAACACAUGCAAGUCGAACGAAGCACUUUAACCUGAUUCUUCGGAUGAAGGUUUUUGUGACUGAGUGGCGGACGGGUGAGUAACGCGUGGGUAACCUGCCUCAUACAGGGGGAUAACAGUUAGAAAUGACUGCUAAUACCGCAUAAGACCACAGAGCCGCAUGGCUCGGUGGGAAAAACUCCGGUGGUAUGAGAUGGACCCGCGUCUGAUUAGGUAGUUGGUGGGGUAACGGCCUACCAAGCCAACGAUCAGUAGCCGAGCUGAGGGGGUGGCCGGCCCAAUGGGGAAUGAGACACCGCCCAAAAUCCGACGGGGGGGCGGCGGGGGGAAAUUAGGACAAGGGGGGAAACCCAAAAGCAGCGACGGCGGGGGGGGGAAAGAGUAUUUCGGUUAGUAAAGCGCGUUUAGCAGGGAAGAAAAUGACGGAAACAAACUAAGAAGCACCGGCUAAAUACGU
rnacentral:rRNA from 1 species